UACGGAGGGAGCUAGCGUUGUUCGGAAUUACUGGGCGUAAAGCGCACGUAGGCGGCGAUUUAAGUCAGGGGUGAAAUCUCUCGGCUCAACCGGGAAACUGCCUUUAAGACUGCAGGUCUUGAAUCCGCGAGAGAGUUGUGGAAUUCCGAGUGUAGCAGUGAAAUGUGUAGAUAUUCGGAAGAACACCAGAGGCGAAGGCAGCAACUUGGCGCGGUAUUGACGCUCAGGCACGAAAGCAUGGGGAUCAAACAGG
rnacentral:rRNA from 1 species